AUUGAACGCUGGCGGCAGGCCUAACACAUGCAAGUCGAACGAGUGGCGGACGGGUGAGUAAUGUCUGGGAAACUGCCUGAUGGAGGGGGAUAACUACUGGAAACGGUAGCUAAUACCGCAUACCAUCAGAUGUGCCCAGAUGGGAUUGGCUAGUAGGUGGGGGAAUGGCUCACCUAGGCGACGCUCCCUAGCUGGUCUGAGAGGAUGACCAGCCACACGGGAACUGAGACACGGUCCAGACUCCUACGGGAGGAAGCAGGGGGGAAUAUUGCACAAUGGGCGAAAGCCUGAUGCAGCCAUGCCGCGUGGGUGAAGAAGGCCUUCGGGUUGUAAAGCACUUUCAGCGAGGAGGCGUUACUCGCAGAAGAAGCACCGGCUAACUCCGUGCCAGCAGCCGCGGUAAUAC
rnacentral:rRNA from 1 species